AGUGAACGCUGGCGGUAGGCCUAACACAUGCAAGUCGAACGGCAGCACAGUAAGAGCUUGCUCUUACGGGUGGCGAGUGGCGGACGGGUGAGGAAUACAUCGGAAUCUACUUUUUCGUGGGGGAUAACGUAGGGAAACUUACGCUAAUACCUCAUACGACCUACGGGUGAAAGCAGGGGAUCUUCGGACCUUGCGCGAUUGAAUGAGCCGAUGUCGGAUUAGCUAGUUGGCGGGGUAAAGGCCCACCAAGGCGACGAUCCGUAGCUGGUCUGAGAGGAUGAUCAGCCACACUGGAACUGAGACACGGUCCAGACUCCUACGGGAGGCCGCAGUGGGGAAUAUUGGACAAUGGGCGCAAGCCUGAUCCAGCCAUACCGCGUGGGUGAAGAAGGCCUUCGGGUUGUAAAGCCGUUUUGUUGGGAAAGAAAAGCAGCAGGUUAAUACCCCGCUGUUCUGACGGUACCCAAAGAAUAAGCACCGGCUAACUUCGUG
rnacentral:rRNA from 1 species